GAUGAACGCUGGCGGCGUGCUUAACACAUGCAAGUCGAACGGAAAGGCCCGAGCUUGCUUGGGUGCUCGAGUGGCGAACGGGCGAGUAACACGUGGGUGAUCUGCCCUGCACUUCGGGAUAAGCCUGGGAAACUGGGCCUAAUACCGGCUAGGCCGAUGUUUUGGAUGCCAUUGUGGAAAGUUUUUUCGCUGUGUGUUGAGCACGGGGCCUAUCAGCUUGUUGGUGGGGUGAUGGCCUACCAAGGCGUCGACGGGUAGCCGGCCUGAGGGGGUGUAGGCACAGAUGGGGACUGGGAAGAGGACCUGAGGACUAGUGGAGGCAGCAGUGGGGAAUACUGCACAAUGGGCGCGCGGCGCACGGGGGGGUGCAGGGUGCGUGAUGACGGCCGCGGGGGUGGGAGGGCCUGGUGCGGCGGGGAAAGCGUAGUUGGGACGGUACCUGGAGACGAAGCACCGGCUAACUACGUG
rnacentral:rRNA from 1 species